rnacentral:lncRNA from 1 species
GGGAGACUCCGCCCGGAUUCCUAUAGGAGCCGGGCUCCAUCGCCAACUUCAACCGUCAGUAAGAUCCGUCUGGACUCCUAUGGGAGUCGGACUUCAGGAGGACUCCGCCCGUACUCCUACGGAAGCCGGGCUCCGCCCACAACUCCAACUUCAAGAGGGAUUUCCCGCCCGGACUCCUACGGGAGCCGGACCUCGUCACCAACUUCAACA